rnacentral:rRNA from 1 species
UCCGUAGGGUGCAAGCGUUAAUCGGAAUUACUGGGCGUAAAGAGCGCGCAGGCGGUCGAUCAAGUCGGGUGUGAAAGCCCCCGGCUCAACUGGGGAGGGUCAUUCGAUACUGAUCGACUCGAAGGCAGGAGAGGGUAGUGGAAUUCCCGGUGUAGUGGUGAAAUGCGUAGAUAUCGGGAGGAACACCAGUGGCGAAGGCGACUACCUGGCCUGUUCUUGACGCUGAGGCGCGAAAGCUAGGGGAGCAAACGGG